GAUGAACGCUGGCGGCGUGCCUAAUACAUGCAAGUCGAGCGAACAGACGAUGAGCUUGCUCCUCUGACGUUAGCGGCGGACGGGUGAGUAACACGUGGAUAACCUACCUAUAAGACUGGGAUAACUUCGGGAAACCGGAGCUAAUACCGGAUAAUAUAUUGAACCGCAUCGUUCAAUAGUGAAAGACGGUUUUGCUGUCACUUAUAGAUGUAUCCGCGCCGCAUUAGCUAGUUGGUAAGGUAACGGCUUACCAAGGCAACGAUGCGUAGCCGACCUGAGAGGGUGAUCGGCCACACUGGAACUGAGACACGGUCCAGACUCCUACGGGAGGCAGCAGUAGGGAAUCUUCCGCAAUGGGCGAAAGCCUGACGGAGCAACGCCGCGUGAGUGAUGAAGGUCUUCGGAUCGUAAAACUCUGUUAUUAGGGAAGAACAAAUGUGUAAGUAACUAUGCACGUCUUGACGGUACCUAAUCAGAAAGCCACGGCUAACUACGUG
rnacentral:rRNA from 1 species